UACGUAGGGUCCAAGCGUUAUCCGGAAUUACUGGGCGUAAAGAGUUGCGUAGGUGGCAUGGUAAGCGAAUAGUGAAAUGACGAGGCUCAACCUUGUGUCCAUUAUUUGAACUGCCAAGCUAGAGAAUGUGAGAGGUACCUGGAAUUCCCUGUGUAGGAGUGAAAUCCGUAGAUAUAGGGAGGAACACCGAUGGCGUAGGCAGGGUACUGGCACAUUUCUGACACUAAGGCACGAAAGCGUGGGUAGCAAACGGG
rnacentral:rRNA from 1 species